CUUAAUUACCUAGUAGAAGUUGUAUGAAACAUAUUCCAUGAUCUGUAACAAAAAUUGCUGGGAAUAACUGUUUUAUUUAUAGACUCUGGUGUCCAUGGCAACCUAGUUUAAGUGGAGAGGUCAUGGGGUGAGCUGGGCCUCGAUUUCACACUGCUCAUGAGGGAGUUUGGUCACACUGCAAUCUGCAGAUUUUCAAGCCAGGUGGUUAUUUGAUCCUGUGAGCAGUGAAACUGUUGACCCAAGAAGACGUGGCUUUUCUGCAUUAUUCGGAGAAAAAUGCAUGUGAAGUAGAACUUAAAAUGUAUUAAUUUAGAUUUCAAUUAAUUAAUACUUCUUGAUAUCACCGGUGUAAUCAACACUGGCCAAUUUGGAAAGAAACUUACAAAUACAAAAUACGGAAGUUUUAAGUCAGUACUUAUAAUGAAUAAAGUCAACAUUUUAAUGCUGAUAACUUGUGCAUUGGUAGAGCUGAGUCGACGGAAAGGAAGGUGCCAAAUACAAGGACAUUGUGCAAGUGAAGUCAUGGGGGAAAGCAAGGCUACCUUCCGGAAUGAUAUAGAAUUGUAUACCAGAAUUCUCUGAUCUUCACUGAAACAGUGUAUAAGAUUGUUUCCAUAAAUUGGCAGAUAUAACUUGAAUGCCAUGUAUUCACCCAUAAGGCCAAGAUGACACCGACCGUGAUUGGGAAGAUCCUGACAAUGAGGAGAAAAGUCAUUCAAGCAUGGAAGGAGCCAAUGAAAGGAGGAAGAUGGUAUUGAUAAAGAUGCAUCAUCACUCAAUUUCAUCCUCACAGCUUACGAACUAAGAUUGUGUAAAAUUAUUGAGAAUUGAGAACCCUGCCGGGAAACAUGUAGUAACUCUCAAUACAUGUGGUAUUGGAGGAGAUGAGAAUCAAUUUGGCACAGGGCUUUGCCCACAACCUGAAGCCCAUCAUUUUUUAAGAAAGAAAAUGUUUUCUAAAUCUGUUAGCAAAAUGGUGGACCAAGCACAAUGAAAUUUUCCAGCAUUUUCUGUUUUUAUAAUGAAUUAUCUGAUGCCAAUGUUGCGGCUUCCAAUGCAGCAUAACAAGCAGCAGCUGUCUGAUUGCUGUAUUGGAAGCACAGAAUGCCAUAGUGCAAUUCAUUUUGCUGCCAAACAAAACAUUCCUUCUUCUUAAGCCCUUUACCCUUACCUUUUCCACCUAUCCUCUUCCAGCUUAUGACUUCAUUUCCCCUCCCCCACCCACCUACCCAACACUUGGUCACACUUAUCACCAGCCAGCUUGCACUCGUUCCACUCCUCCCCCAUCUUCUUAUUGUGACCUCUGCCCUUUCCUUUCUUGUCCUGACGGACGGUCUCACCCUGAAACAUGGACUGUUUAUUUCCCUCCAUAGAAACUACCUGACUUGCUGAGUCCCUCCAGCAUUUUGUGAUGGUUAUUCAAGCCACGGAUGUUGGUCACCAUGCACAUGGGUGCUUGUAGGUCUCAAAACACACUAACAAUUUGUCCUCCCAUAAAAUGAAAAACAGUCGUAAGUAAGUGGUUAAGGGUCUAUGGAGCAGGAGGUUUGCUCUCCUGCCAUCUUUUCCAUAGGAUGUGUACUCAGUUCCUCGGUCUUGUUGCUCAACUGGUAAGUCUAUCUGGACCUAGCUAAAAUAAUUCAGUCAAAACUUUAAGGACUCUUCUAUCAGCCAUGCUGGAGCCACUAAGUGGUUGCUUGGGAGGACUGGGACGGGCAUCUACUAAAAGCACUGCCACAGGAAAGCAGUAUCCAUCAUCAAGGACACCCACCAUUCAGGCCAUGUUCUCUUCUCGGUACUACCAUCGGGCAUGAGGCACAGGAGCCUUAGGUCUCACACCACUAGGCUCAGGAACAGUUAGUACCCUACAACCAUCAAGCUCCUGAGCCAGUGUGUAUAACUUCACUCACCUCAACUCUGAACUGAACCUAAAAUUUAGUGACAGACCCACUUUCAAGGACUCUAAAAGCCAUUUCAUCAGUAUUUUUUUUUGUUUGGCACACGUUGUCUCCUUUUGCUCUUAGGCUGUUUGUCAGACUUUGCUUAUGUAUAGUUUCAAAAAAUUAUAUUGAAUUUCACAGUGACAUAUACACGUGUACUUUGAUAAUA